AGUGAACGCUGGCGGUAGGCCUAACACAUGCAAGUCGAACGGCAGCACAGUAAGAGCUUGCUCUUACGGGUGGCGAGUGGCGGACGGGUGAGGAAUACAUCGGAAUCUACUUUUUCGUGGGGGAUAACGUAGGGAAACUUACGCUAAUACCGCAUACGACCUACGGGUGAAAGCAGGGGAUCUUCGCACCUUGCGCGAUUGAAUGAGCCGCUGUCGGAUUAGCUAGUUGGCGGGGUAAAGGCCCACCAAGGCGACGAUCCGUAGCCGGUCUGAGAGGAUGGUCGGCCACACUGGAACUUAGACACGGUCCAGACUCCUACGGGAGGCAGCAGUGGGGAAUAUUGGACAAUGGGCGCAAGCCUGAUCCAGCCAUACCGCGUGGGUGAAGAAGGCCUUCGGGUUGUAAAGCCCUUUUGUUGGGAAAGAAAAGCAGCAGGUUAAUACCCCGCUGUUCUGACGGUACCCAAAGAGUAAGCACCGGCUAACUUCGUG
rnacentral:rRNA from 1 species